rnacentral:rRNA from 1 species
AUUGAACGCUGGCGGCAGGCUUAACACAUGCAAGUCGAACGAGUGGCGGACGGGUGAGUAAUGCUUGGGAAUCUAGCUUAUGGAGGGGGAUAACUACGGGAAACUGUCGCUAAUACCGCGUACCAUAGGAUGAGCCCAAGUUGGAUUAGGUAGUUGGUAAGGUAAAGGCUCACCAAGCCGUCUAUCUCUAGCUGGUCUGAGAGAAUGACCGGCCAAACUGGAACUGAGACGCGACCAGGGCACCUACGGGAGGCAGCAGUGGAGAAUAUUGCGGGAUGGGGGCGACCUGACGCAGCCAUGCCGCGUGAAUGAAGAAGGCCUUCGGGUUGUAAAGUUCUUUCGGUAGCGAGGCGUUAACUACAGAAGAAGCACCGGCUAACUCCGUGCCAGCAGCCGCGGUAAUUC